CAUUCAAACCCUAUUGUCAAUCUUCCAUCUUCUUCAAUCUGCCAUUUAUGAUUUUGAUUUCCUAGAGGCAGACGAAGACAGAAUAAGCUGUUGUACCACUCUAAUUCAACAUCUUCUUCUGUUUAUUUAUUCAUCAAUCUUCCUCUUUCUUUACCUUAUAUAUUUCUCACAUUCGGAUUAUUCAUUGCACCUUCCAUGGCUUCAAUUGCAACUCCCACACCAGAGGCCAUCUAGGUUCUACUCUCAUUGCUAGAUAAUGAUUCUUCGUCUGUUUGGGAAGCUUCCAAAAUACGUGUUGCAGCAGCUGCAACUGCUUCUUCAAUGGCAUGGGCUCCAUCAAUACAAAGAAUGUCGGGUCAAAAGGGAGCA